CACAGCACAAAAACAACAGAUUCCACUAAAACCCUCAAUCUCCUACAUCAACACCGAGCUACCCUAUAAAUAUAGUCAAACUAAUGCUAAAACUAGUAAUAAGAAAAACUUCUCUAUGGCACACCUUUGCCCCAGAAAUAGAUAACCUACUGAACAUUAACAGACCCAAACAGGAACCACACAACAUGUGGAGAAAACUGUCAACCCGACACUGGAGUGCCACAAAGAUGAUUAAAAGUUGUAUAAGGAACUCAGCAAAACCUGUCCCAACUGUUUACCAAAAACAUAGCCUUUAGCAAAACAAGUAUUAAAGGUCCCGCCUGCCCAGUGAAACUUAUUUAACGGCCGCGGUAUUCUAACCGUGCAAAGGUAGCGUAAUCACUUGUCUUCUAAAUAAAGACCUGUAUGAACGGCUAAAUGAGGACAAACCUGUCUCUUACAACCAAUCAAUGAAACUGAUCUACCAGUACAAAAGCUGGUAUAAACACAUAAGACGAGAAGACCCUGUGGAGCUUAAGACAAAACACCAAUGCACAAUAAAAACAUGGUGCUGGGUCUUCAGUUGGGGCGACUUCGGAAAAAAACAAAACUUCCGAGCAAAUAUCCAUAGCAUAAAACCAAGGCAAACAGGCCUAAUAUUUUUCUGACCCGGCCACGCCGAUCAACGAACCAAGUUACCCCAGGGAUAACAGCGCUAUCUUCUUUAAGAGUCCAUAUCGACAAGAAGGUUUACGACCUCGAUGUUGGAUCAGGACACCCCGGCGGUGCAGCCGCUGCCAAAGGUUCGUUUGUUCAACGAUUAACAGU
rnacentral:rRNA from 1 species